GGAAAGGUGGUGAUAUCAGGAGCAGGUAGAGAGGAAAGGUGGUGAUAUCAGGAGCAGGUAGAGAGGAAAGGUGGUGAUAUCAGGAGCAGGUAGAGAGGAAAGGUGUUAAUAUCAGGAGCAGGUAGAGAGGAAAGGUGGUGAUAUCAGGAGCAGGUAGAGAGGAAAGGUGUUAAUAUCAGGAGCAGGUAGAGAGGAAAGGUGGUGAUAUCAGGAGCAGGUAGAGAGGAAAGGUGGUGAUAUCAGGAGCAGGUAGAGAGGAAAGGUGGUGAUAUCAGGAGCAGGUAGAGAGGAAAGGUGGUGAUAUCAGGAGCAGGUAGAGAGGAAAGGUGUUAAUAUCAGGAGCAGGUAGAGAGGAAAGGUGGUGAUAUCAGGAGCAGGAAGAGAGGAAAGGUGGUAAUAUCAGGAGCAGGUAGAGAGGAAAGGUGGUGAUAUCAGGAGCAGGUAGAGAGGAAAGGUGGUGAUAUCAGGAGCAGGUAGAGAGGAAAGGUGGUGAUAUCAGGAGCCGGUAGAGAGGAAAGGUGGUGAUAUCAGGAGCAGGUAGAGAGGAAAGGUGGUGAUAUCAG
rnacentral:lncRNA from 1 species